rnacentral:ribozyme from 1 species
UGCCCAGCAACUCCUAUCCCUACCUCCUCGUGGUACCGGCCGGAAACUAUUAGAAGAAAGAAGGAAGAUCGGGUAACCAACCCCGGUGGAAACUUUGGUCAUAGUCUGACAGGGAAGG